rnacentral:lncRNA from 1 species
CACUCGAGUAUUAGUUAAGAAACAAUCUAGUCUGCUAUAAUAAGAAACUCACAAUGCAAUGACUUAAAUAAGGAAGAAAUUCAUGUCAUUCUCAUGUAACAAUCUAAGGAGCCCUGGAUAUCAAGAAGCUCAGCUAUGCUGGGACUGAGGCACCUUCCUUCUCAAUAUCUGAAAUUCUGAAGGCAAUGCUCUUGUCCUAAAGGAAAUGUGUAAUGUGAAGUUAACCUCAAUGUGACGUACCAAGGGCAUGUGAAAUCACGAGGAGAAAGUGCAGUAUUUACUGAGUGAGCAGCUAUUCCAGUCAAUGACAUUUCAGCUAGUGCCUCUGUACUCUGAAAAAUACCUGGAAAGGACACACCAGAAAGAAGAAGCCACUGAACAGGAAAAGGCCAUGAGAGAUGAGAAGAUGAUCAAUGGAAGAGGAUAUAGGAUGAAGAUACACAAGUUCGGGUGGGGAGGAGAUGAAGAAAAAGAAGAGGAUAAUUGGAAGGAAAUAUCUUUCUCUACCCCUGACCAAAUUGACUGGUUUGAGUUUGUUGCCUGAUGUAAGCAGCAUCAAUGGGCCCAAGGCUGUGGUACAUAAAGCCCACAAACUAUGUGGAUCACGGUAUUCAUCCAGAUUGGAGAAGAAUAAGGCUGCCAUUUUAGGCCAAAAGGGAGGAGAAUAAGGUGACUAUGAUGUUCAAGAAACUAUUUCUUAUUGUUUCUGAGGCUCAGAUGACUCCAUGAUCUCUGUUAUUUGGGCAGUCCAUGAAAUAAUCUAGUGUCCUUUCAUUGAUUUCCUUUUGCUUAUACUAAUUUAAGUUGGGUUUCUAUUAUGUGCAUUCAAAAGUGUAACUAAACUUUAUCUACGUGGCUCCAUUUCCUACUGUAUGCCUCUAUGCACCUUCUGUUCUACUCACUCUGAACUAUUUAACUGAUAUGGUUUGGCUGCGUCCCCACCCAAAUCUCAUCUUGAAUUGUAGCUUCCAUAAUCCCCAGUUGUUGUAGGGGGGGAAUGUUCAUAAUCAUUAUCUCCAAAGACAGAAACCACAACAAAACAUAAUGAUAUAUUUGACUACAUAAAAUGUUAAAUUUAAAUAUCAAAAAGCCCAUCAAUGAAUAAAUAAGGAAUAUUUAAAGUUUUGCACAUAAUAACACAUUUAGAGAAAUAACAUUUUAUUUUCAAUUGCAUAUAUAUAAGAUGUUAUUUUAUUAUUAUUAUUAUUAUUGAGAUGGAAUCUCACUCUGUCGCCCAGGCUGGAAUGCAGUGGAGAGAUCUCGGCUCACUGCAACCUCUGCCUCCCAGGUUCAAGUGAUUCUCCUUCCUCAGCCUCCUGAGUAGCUAGGAUUACAGGUGCCCGCCACCAUGCCUGGCUAAUUUUUUGGUGUUUUUUAAGUAGAGGUGGGGUUUCACCAUAUUGGCCAGGCUGGUUUCAAACUUCUGACCUCAAGUGAUCUGCCCGCCUUGGCCUCCCAAAGUGCUAGGAUUAAAGGUGUGAGCCACCCACGUGGCUAAUAUGUUAUUUUAAUUGCAUAAAUGUAAUAUAUUUUAGUAGUCUUUUUAGUAUUAAAAUGACUAAUUAUGCAAGUUGAUAAUAGAAAGAUGAAUAUCUGAAUAGAGAAAUAGGCAAACAACACAAGUAAAAAAUUUUUUAAAUUAAAUAUAAAAAUAACAAACAUUUGUAAAUUUUUGAAUUGUACUAGAAAUGGAGGAACAACUACUUAACUGUUUAGUCCCUGGUUUGCCCACCCACUCACACAUCUCAUAGCAUAUCCACAACAUGUUGUGUAUUUCUCUAUUGCUUUUCUCAUUCAUCUCUGUAUUGUGGUUAUUUUACCACCUGUCUCUCUCACUAGACUUUAAUUCCUUUUGGAAAACCCAAUGUUCUAUUUCUCUUUCAUGCAUUAACUCGCAGCAUUUAGUUGGGCUCAAUGAAGGUUUAUGGAAUGAAUGAUUUAGGUGAGAGAGUGUCUUAAAAUGGGCAUGCUCCACUAAAUAAUUUGUCAUUGUCUCCCUAAAGCUGCAAGGUAAAUGUCUUUACUUCCUGUGAUAUUUGUUCCUGUAAUUGAAAAAUCUCUAUUCUUUGUAUUAAUGCCUUAUUUUUCUGAUUUGUCUUCACUCUUAUACAGUUUUGGGCAAAUUUUCUUCAUUAUAAAAAUAUUUUAUCUCAGAACCAAAUGCUCCAUUUACUAAAAUGACACUUUAUCUGGUUAUUGUGAUUUUUCCCCAUCUCCUCUUUCGUUAUUAUCGGAACUUCCAUUUACACCAUGCAAGGUGAAUUUUUUUAAAGAAGUGAUCCAUCCUGCAGAGGGUAUUAAUUUCAGCAUAAAUGUAUGUAAAGUCAACAUGUCAGCUAUUUUGAUUUGCAUUAAACUCUAUUCUUACUUUGUAUUUUAUGCCGCAAAAGCUGAGGAUGGGGGCGGGGGUGUUGAGUGAAAAGGAUAGACCAGCACAGUAUUCAUAUCUUAGCUUGAUAGAGCAGUUUACAAUAAAUAAAUAUAUAAUAAUCUCACUAUAAUAAAGUUUCACUAAAGUGCAAUCAUAAAUCUUAGGUCAAGGGAAUCAAAAACAUAAUUCAGAAAGGCUUUUGGGGACUUUGAGAGUGGAAGGCACUUAGAUAUCAGUCAGAACUGAGUUCCAAUCUCAGUUACCUCACUUACUAGUUGCAUGGCCUCCUACAACUCAAAAUAAAUUUUUAUAAAUAAAUUCAGUCCUGAAGCAAGAUCGUAAAGGAUAUUCUAGGUAGCACCUGCAUAAAAAUGCAAAUCAGUCUCAAUCAGUCAAAUAACCAGAAAGCUUUCAUUGAAGCUUUGCUUUAUGCUGAGCAAGGUGUAGUGCAUCCAAAAACACACGCACAAAAAACAACAACAAAAGCAACAAUGCAAUAGCUUUAAAAAAACAAUCCAGGUCCCCUUGUUUGCUCUGAGUUCUCUGUGUCAAGACUUGCUCUGUCAUCCCUCAUUUACCUCAUGGCAUAUAUGACUGUUGUUGAUCCUUUUUAGAAACCUUCCAAAAACAAAAGCAGAAAUAUAAAAACAGUGGCAAUCAAGUAUAUUUUAUAUGAUAUAAUGUUAGCAUUUUAAGUUAGUGGGAAAAGCUAUAUUUUUAACGUUACCUUUUUCUUUUUUUCCUUUUUCCUUUAUUUUUUUAGAUAGAGUAUUUUUCGGUAGCCAGGCUGGAGUACAGUGGCGCGAUCUCGGCUCACUGCAACCUCUGCCUCCUGGGUUUAAGCGAUUCCCCUGCCUCAGCCUCCCAAGUACCUGGGACUACAGGUGGGUGCCACCACACCCAGCUAGUUUUUUGUAUUUUAGUAGAGAUGGGAUUUCACCAUGUUAGCCAGGAUGGUCUCGAUCUCCUGACAUCGUGAUCCACCCACCUUGGCCUUCAAAAGUGCUGGGAUUACAGGCAUGAGCCACUGUGCCUGGCCCUUUAAUGUUAAAUUUUUUAGGUAAAUCAUCAGCUAUUUGGAGAAAAAUAAUAAAGUUUAAUCUUGAACUUAUGCCAUAUUGUAACAUAAAUUCCAGGUGUAGAACAAAUAUAGAAAAUUAAACCACAAAGGACUAUUAAAGUGUAGGUGAAUUUUUAUACUUUUUGGGAGAGGAAAAUCUUCAUAAGCAUUAUCUCCAAAGACAGAAAUCACAAAACAUAGUGAUAUCUUUGACUACAUAAAAUGUUAAAUUUAAAUAUCAAAAAGCCCAUUAAUGAAUAAAUAAGGAAAAUUUAAG